AGAGUUUGAUCCUGGCUCAGGAUGAACGCUGGCGGCGUGCCUAACACAUGCAAGUCGAGCGAGGGUUUGCUCAGUAUUGAGUAUUCUAAGACUAGAAUGUUCAAUUCUGAGCAAAACCAAGCGGCGGACGGGUGAGUAACGCGUGGGUAACCUGCCCUAUACACAUGGAUAACAUACUGAAAAGUUUACUAAUACAUGAUAAUAUAUAUUUGCGGCAUCGCAGAUAUAUCAAAGUGUUAGCGGUAUAGGAUGGACCCGCGUCUGAUUAGCUAGUUGGUGAGAUAACUGCCCACCAAGGCGACGAUCAGUAGCCGACCUGAGAGGGUGAUCGGCCACAUUGGAACUGAGACACGGUCCAAACUCCUACGGGAGGCAGCAGUGGGGAAUAUUGCACAAUGGGCGAAAGCCUGAUGCAGCAACGCCGCGUGAACGAUGAAGGUCUUCGGAUCGUAAAGUUCUGUUGCAGGGGAAGAUAAUGACGGUACCCUGUGAGGAAGCCCCGGCUAACUACGUGCCAGCAGCCGCGGUAAUACGUAGGGGGCUAGCGUUAUCCGGAUUUACUGGGCGUAAAGGGUGCGUAGGUGGUCCUUCAAGUCGGUGGUUAAAGGCUACGGCUCAACCGUAGUAAGCCGCCGAAACUGGAGGACUUGAGUGCAGGAGAGGAAAGUGGAAUUCCCAGUGUAGCGGUGAAAUGCGUAGAUAUUGGGAGGAACACCAGUAGCGAAGGCGGCUUUCUGGACUGCAACUGACACUGAGGCACGAAAGCGUGGGUAGCAAACAGGAUUAGAUACCCUGGUAGUCCACGCUGUAAACGAUGAGUACUAGGUGUCGGGGGUUACCCCCCUCGGUGCCGCAGCUAACGCAUUAAGUACUCCGCCUGGGGAGUACGCACGCAAGUGUGAAACUCAAAGGAAUUGACGGGGACCCGCACAAGUAGCGGAGCAUGUGGUUUAAUUCGAAGCAACGCGAAGAACCUUACCUAAGCUUGACAUCCCUCGGACAGGUGUUUAAUCACACCCUUCCUUCGGGACUGAGGUGACAGGUGGUGCAUGGUUGUCGUCAGCUCGUGUCGUGAGAUGUUGGGU
rnacentral:rRNA from 2 species